GACGAACGCUGGCGGCGUGCCUAAUACAUGCAAGUAGAACGCUGAAGAGAGGAGCUUGCUCUUCUUGGAUGAGUUGCGAACGGGUGAGUAACGCGUAGGUAACCUGCCUGGUAGCGGGGGAUAACUAUUGGAAACGAUAGCUAAUACCGCAUGAUAUUAAUUAUUGCAUGAUAAUUGAUUGAAAGAUGCAAUUGCAUCACUACCAGAUGGACCUGCGUUGUAUUGGCUAGUUGGUGAGGUAACGGCUCACCAAGGCGACGAGACAUAGCCGACCUGAGAGGGACAUCGGCCACACUGCGACUGAGACACGGCCCAGACUCCUGCGGGAAGCAGCAGUAGGGAAUCUUCGGCAAUGGGGGGAACCCUGACCGAGCAACGCCGCGUGAGUGAAGAAGUUUUUCGGAUCGUAAAGCUCUGUUGUAAGAGAAGAACGGGUGUGAGAGUGGAAAGUUCACACUGUGACGGUAGCUUACCAGAAAGGGACGGCUAACUACGUGCCAGCCGCCGCCGUAA
rnacentral:rRNA from 1 species